rnacentral:rRNA from 1 species
CCCGUCGCUACUACCGAUUGAAUGGCUCAGUGAGGCUUCCGGACUGGCCCAGAGAGGUCGGCAACGACCACUCAGGGCCGGAAAGCUAUCCAAACUCGGUCAUUUAGAGGAAGUAAAAGUCGUAACAAGGUCUCCGUUGGUGAACCAGCGGAGGGAUCAUUACAGAGUUGCAAAACUCCCAAACCAUUGUGAACGUUACCUAUACUGUUGCUUCGGCGGGUGGCCCCAGGUUUUUUCCUGGGUGCCCCUGGGCCCCUUGUGGGUGCCCGCCGGAGGUUACCAAACUCUUGAUAUUUAUGGCCUCUCUGAGUCUUCUGUACUGAAUAAGUCAAAACUUUCAACAACGGAUCUCUUGGUUCUGGCAUCGAUGAAGAACGCAGCGAAAUGCGAUAAGUAAUGUGAAUUGCAGAAUUCAGUGAAUCAUCGAAUCUUUGAACGCACAUUGCGCCCGCCAGUAUUCUGGCGGGCAUGCCUGUUCGAGCGUCAUUUCAACCAUCAAGCCCUCGGCUUGUGUUGGGGACCUGCGGCUGCCGCAGGCCCUAAAAAACAGUGGCGGGCUCGCUGUCACACCGAGCGUAGUAGUAUUAUCUCGCUCUGGGCGUGCUGCGGGUUCCGGCCGUUAAACCACCUUAUAACCCAAGGUUGACCUCGGAUCAGGUAGGAAGACCCGCUGAACUUAAGCAUAUCAAU